rnacentral:lncRNA from 1 species
CUGGAAAGCCAGCUCCCGUACCCGUCAGCACCGGCUCUUAACCUGAGCUAGGGAGUUGUGUCUGGGCCCUGCGGCCAGGAUCCGCGCGCUAAAAGCACCUCCUUUCUCGGACUGUGCAGUGCAGAUGUGAGGAGCCCAGCCUAAGUUUUUGAAGACCUAUUGAGAAGCAGCCGGGAAUGAAUGGAGACAAGAGAGGAACGGGCCGGGCCGGCUGCGGGGAUCCGGAGUGCGGAGGGCUAUUGAAUGUCCUCCAUCGCUUCCCAUCUUUACUUAUCAUCUCUUUGACAAUACCUCCAUUGAUACGGCUGCCUAAAAGGCAAGAUGGACAUGCUGACAGCAGACAGAAAAGCAAGGGUACUUUGGUCAACUCAACUCAAGGGCUGAGCUACAUGCCACUUAUAGCAUCUCUGACUUCACACCUUGCAGCAAUAUUGUCUAGCACAUUCAGCCUGUUGAGGUAUGCAGACAAAUGGCAUGCCAUAUAGUUAGGUCGAGAGCAGAACAAUCUGUGAAACUGCCAAGCUUUCUUGCUAUCAGAGGGAAAGUAAUAUCCAUGCAGAUGGUCUUGAUUUAUGGACAGAUUGCUAAGGUAAUCAUGUGAGAAACUGGCACAUGUUGUAGAAAAUAAGAAGCGAUGAAGACUCUGAGGAUCUCUGAACAAGCACAAACUACCCAGUUAUUGCCAAGGCAAUUAAAUUCAAAAUACCCAAAAAAAGGUCAUCUGGUCAGCAAAACUGGAGCCAGUGCAGUAAAAGUUAACAGGAAUGUUUAUUAUUGUUUAUGUUUUUUUGUUUGUUUACUUGGUUUACCUGGUGGUCAGCCCUGUGCCUGAUCAUUAUAGCUUGGAGUAGCACAAUGAACUCACUGUUUCUGAAGUGUUCAUGCCCGACUUACUUCCACAGUCAGGAGGGGCUGUCUAUGUUUUUCCUUGAUGUCAAUGAAGCAAUACUGGAAGUGCUCUUCUUAACAGUGCUUAUGGAAUACCUGGAGGUUGCCAAACAGCAUCAUUCCCUCCUAACUCCUUACCACAGCCAAUCGCUCAUUUCAUGAAUGGGAAUUUUACUCAAUACAGAAGUAUAUCUGAGACAAAUGCAUUGUAAGUAAUAAAAAUGUUCAUGCAAAAUGAGGCUGUUUCCAUGCUAAUACCUGCAACUAACAAUCCUCAUACUGAAAUAAAACCUGAAAAUACUCAGGUAAUGUCUGGAUGAAAAGUCAUACCCUUUAGGACUCAUGAGUGGCAAAACAAUUUCAUUACUGUUGAUGUCAUAAUGCAGAAUAAUGAAACAAAUACAAAUCAAGAUAAAUUCAAACAGUGCUUUAAUGCUU